rnacentral:rRNA from 1 species
GUCUGUGUCCAUAGCACCCCGAACCAGCCCAAUCUUGUCUGAUCUUGGAAGCUAAGCAAGGUCAAGCCUGGUUAGUACUUAGAUGGGAGAUAAAUGUUCACAACAUGGGAACCUUUGAGAUCAAAAA